UACGGAGGGUGCGAGCGUUGUCCGGAAUCAUUGGGCGUAAAGGGCGCGUAGGUGGCCCGGUCAGUUCGUGGUGAAAGCGCGGGGCUCAACCCCGCGUCGGCCAUGAAUACUGCUGGGCUGGAGCACUGUAGAGGCAGGCGGGAAUUCCGGGUGUAGCGGUGGAAUGCGUAGAGAUCCGGAAGAACACCGGUGGCGAAGGCGGCCUGCUGGGCAGUUGCUGACACUGAGGCGCGACAGCGUGGGGGAGCAAACAGG
rnacentral:rRNA from 1 species